rnacentral:lncRNA from 1 species
AAGCCCAGGCUGCUCCCUCAAAGGUGAAUGCAAGCUCUGGUUUUAUUGGUGAGGCUUAAUACUCAAUUGUUUCCUCCACCCUGCUCAAACUCUGCCUUUGUUUCUAAAGGUUCCAUGUGGGAAAACUUCCCUUUGUAUGCUGAAAUUCUCAGGAAGCCAGAGAUGAGUCCGUUGAUCAGCAGAAUCUUAAAUCUCACAUAGAGAUGGAACUUGGUUUGGGGAAUCUUGAAGUUCAGGACAUUUCUACAAAUAUGUUGACACCACCUUAUACUACUCCCUCCCCCAGGGUCCCUAAGAGGGACUGGGCUACCAAGACUGGCAGCUCCAAAAGAACCCAAGUUUACAGAGGAACUUAAACUCAAACUUGAGCCAGCUCUUGCUGUUAGCCUAGGUUUAUUGAACACAAAUUUAUGCUGGAAACUGUCCCUUGUGUCAAGAGGUACUGAUUUGCGAAUUCCAAAAAAGCUUUUGUGAUGUACCAAGUAAAACAUGGUUUUCUUUUCUCUCUCUCUCUCUCUCUCUCUCUCUCUCUCUCUCUCUCUCUCUCUCUCAGUACCAGGGAUUGAACCCAGGAGCUCUUAACCACUGAGCCACAUCUUCAGCCCUUUUUAAUUUAGAGACAGGAUCUCCCUAAAUUGCUUAGGGCCUCACUAAGUUGCUGAGUCUGGCUUUGACCUUGAAAUCUUCCUGCCUCAGCCUCCAAGGAAAACGACAUUCUGAUAUUUGAAUAUCAUAUUCAAAUUACCUUGUGUGUCACAAGCUAUUCCUAAGAUGGUAUUUGUCUGCAUGUCCCUAUGCUGUUAAUGAAUUCUUUCCCAGCCCUUUUGGAUGUUCUUUAAAAAUGGGGCUGGGUGCAACUGCUGCAGUAAAAGUUGCUAGUGUAAAGGUCUAGAGCUGUUACUUUUGUGACUGCUGCUUCAUUUGCUUAUUUGUUGCUUCUAUGUUUAUAAGAAGGAAUUUUUUGGAUUGGGAGCUAGUGUUGAAUGGGGUUUGACUGUAGGAUUUCUGUGUCCCUUGGUUCAGUGUAUGUCAUCAAAGAGGGUUUUGCAUUUACUUCCGCCAGCCUUGCUACCAGUUCUGGACAUCCAUUAUGUUGAAUUCUUGGAGACCCUUCCACACACUCAGGUACUAUGAACUUGAGCUUUAAACCCCUCUACCUGUAGGUAUAACCCUUGAGUAUAAUUGACUGCUGCUUACAACUUCUCAGAAGGAAUUGUUUUUUCCUAGCCAGAGCCAUUUACAGGUGGGCAGAAUCUGUCUAAAUGACCUCUUAAAUGGUAUUGCCUUUAUGCAGGGGCUCACUCUGUCCUUGACUGAGCAGUGAAACCCAAAAUUGACACUCCUACGCCUGAGGACAUCGGAGGUAUCAGCUGUUCCUUGCAUCUCCCUUUGUCAGAGUCCACUCCAUUCCUGAACCCUGACUAUUUCCUUCCUUUUUCUUUUCCUUGUGCAAAUUCAGUAUGUUGAAUUUAAUUAUAAUUUCAAGGCAUUAUGUAGCACUAAUGUGUAUUGCAGAAAUAGUGUCCCUGUUUCUUUUAUGACCAUUUCUAAUUGUUUGUAAUUCAAGGUAACUAGAGAUACAUUGUUUCAAUAUUAAAUCAACAGAGUCUCAAGAUUUGCUCUGGACAUGCUAUGUGUGAGGCUCCCUGUGCACCACAAACAGAGAAAAACUACACUCUUUGAGCAGUUUUACAUAUGCUAUCUUGUUUGAUUAUCACAAGUCUUAUGGGAUAGUUACUAAACCCAUUUUAUAGAUAAGAAAGCUGAGACCCAAUGUUAUAUGACCUUGUCUCUCAGCCUCUUCUACACCACACCAAGGGCUCAUGACAGAGCCCAGGAAAGAAGACAUGGACAACAAAAGUCUCAGUAUCCAUAUGAGAGAAGAAAAAUAAAACAAUAAAAACUACAUGGCAAGAUUUGUUAAGGAAACAAGAAGAUGACCAGAGGACUAUGACUUCAGGGAAGGCAGAGACCCUGGACCAAGUGAGCAGGAGAGAAAGACUCAGCCUGGGCUGAAAGACAUUGCCUCCAUGGAGAAGAACAUUCCAAGCAGAGGAGAAGGCACGAGAAAUACAGAGAUGGGAGGACACAGGCAUGAUAUGAACUCCAUGAGGUCAUGGUUAUAGAGUGGGAUACUGAGAGAGGAUGAGAGAAGACUGAGGAUAAGAAUGGGGGGCCUUGAUUGCCCUUGGGUUUGGAGUGUGCUGGGCAGGCAAUGAAGAGCCUGGGGAGACUUCCGGCUGGAGGACAGUGUGGACAAGGCAGUGCUUUAGGAACGCACAUGUGGAAAGCCGUGGAUAAGGUGGAUGGGCUAUGGCGAGAAGGGAGGGGAGCAGAGAGCCUGGAUUAAGGGAAUCAGUAACAACCAAAUGAAAAGGAGGGGCAAACAGGUGCUUUGCAUAGGGAGGCUGCUGGGGCCAUUCAUUCUUAUUAAGCAUCACAGCUGGUCACUUCAAUGGGAAUUCAAGGUGUCAUUGGGGUUAAAGGUCACUGUCAUCUUCCAUGGGCUCAAAACCAGCCAGGCCACUGAAGCUGAGUUCUUGGGGUCAGAGUUGGCCCACUGGGCACUUUGCCAAAGUUUCCAGGAGGAAGAGUGUCAUCAUAGGCCACAUCCAGGGAGACACAAGCAAAUGUCACUUCUGAGAACUUCAGGUUCGACAUCUAAGUUCCUGGGUGAGAAGACCCUAGGAUGAGGAGGCGAAAGUGAAAGUUGAAAGGACAGCUAUUGGGGUGUCACAAGUGAAUGGUCCAGCAUCCAGGAAAG